UCCGCGCGCCCCCAGACGCCAUGCGCGCGGCGUGUGGCUCCCACCUGAGCCGCGCAUCCUCGGGGCCGGGGCCUGGCCUCCCCGCCUGCGAGAGGGCUCUGUGACAGUGCCCAGCUCGUGGGCCGUGUGGGGGCCGAGUGACGUCGUGCAUUUGCGGAAGUGCCCAUGACCUUCAUCACAGCAGUGUAUGUGUGCUGGUCCUCUCCAGGGAUGCUCGAAGUAGAUGUACAGGGAGUCGAGGUAUGGACACCACCAGUGUGCCAGCCUGAGCACACAAGAGUGGCCUCGAUCCUGCCAUCACAGCCAGGCCAGUCAGGUGCUUUCCGGGAGGACUGUUACUACCUCACUCAGAAUCCUUUAAUCUCAAGUUGGUAUGAGCAAAUGGCUCAUUUUAAAGAUUGCAGACAAAUGUAGAGAUCACCCCAGGAGAAAAUGCCCCAAGAACGGAGAGUCCCAGACCACCUGCCCCUCCCAGUUCUGUGGCUGGAGUGGGUGGGUGCAACAACCACAGCCCCAGUGUAUAGGAGUCACCCCUGCUCCCUCCCCCAUUGCCUCAGCUUGGAGGUGCACAGCAACCAAGCUUGAGGACUCAGUUAAGCUUUUCAGAGAAAAAAGACACUGUGAUCAUCUGGCAGAUCACGAUCACUGUUUAGUGCCAGAGGUAAGGACUCCUCGUUGUGUUUGCUUGGAGGCAACACUCGGCAAUGACAGCCCGGGAGAAGCACGGGCAGUUAACAGCACUCGCACCACUCAUGGCUGAGACUGAGAGGAGCCUUUUACAGCAGCGCUGAAAGCAGGUGUUCUCAGACUUGACCCUAAACACAUCUCUUUCACCUUUUUCUUAAGUGCCUGCUGUCACAUAACCACUUGCUGAAAUUGUGUCGUUUGAUGCUAAAUUAGGAACAUGUUAUAUGGAAGGAAGGUAACCACUCUUCCAUGAGCACACAUGCCCAGGCAGACUGUGUGUGAUAGAUUUCUGCUUCUCAGGUAAGCCCUGGGCUAGAGACACUGGAGACUAUUGCGGUGGUGAUCUCUGGAGGAAAAGCAGGAAGGCCUGUGGUCUGUGUUUAAGACUGGACCAGAAGGGCCUCAUCUGCAGUUUAUCAUACUCUGAGGCUCUGGAGAUCCUUUGUGCUUUUCCAUCAAAACGCCAGAUGCUAAGGCAGCAGAGGUAGAGUUACAGCCGUAUCACCCCAGGCAAUACCCAGAAAAAUGGUUCAUGUAAGCUCACCUACUCCAAAUAAGAGAGCACGGACAGAAUGCUUCCUCUUAGCCAGUGGUUUUCAAACUUGAAUGUAAAUCAGAAUCACCUGAGGGCUUACUAAGCCACAUUGGUGAUGCACCUCUGACUCAGUGGGUCUGGGCCUGCCUUCCUAGCAAGCUCCCAGGUGAUGCUGAUAAACCGGUCAGGGACUCGUAUGUUGAAAACCAGAGCUCCAGACCACACAGACAUCUGUACCAAAGAAGCGACGAGGGCACAAACUCCAUUAUAAUAGCCAUCUUUAUUUGUAAAAAUCCAGAUAUAAAAUGUAUUCUUUCAGUC